GGCAGUGCAGAGACAGCAGACAUGCUGUGUGGGCUCAGCCGGGACAGCUCUGCAGAGGCAGGUACGUGGAGCGUGCAGGCACCACACCAGCUGCAGAGAGGGGCCUGCAUGCUAGGAAUGGGGCUGCCACUCUGGAAGUCUGGUGGGAAAGAGGACCUGUCUAACCAGGCAGGUGCCGAGGGCUGUGUUUCUGCUCUGGAGCUGUCUUGUCACUGGAAAGCUGCUUCCCAGGACUGACCCUGGGCAUAGGUUACAGGGAGUUCAGUCAGAGACCCAGGGAGGCUGCCCUUCCUGCCUCCAUGAGGGGAGUAGAGCUGUCGGUUGUUGGGAGCAUGGGGCUGCCCAUUGGGAGUGAACCUUCCCUGAGGCCAGGCUGGAUGAAGGUUUCUGGGAGACCUGGGCUCUGGAACUCAGUAGAGGGGCGGGGCCCAGCUGCCACAUUCCUAGGUGGCUGUGGUAGUAUCUGGGACUGGGGAGGGACUAUGGGGCAAGUAUAUUGUCUGUCCCUGUCCGUCUGUCUGUCUGUCUGUCUGUCUGUUUCCCUAACUUUAGCCUGCUGGGAUAGCCUGACCUCCCCCAACAGUGUGGGUCACUCUGCUCUCUGUGCCUUUAAGGGUUCUACCUUCUAAUGUUCUUAAUACCUUCCAAGGUCUACACACCUCUCUAUAGCUUCCAGAGUAGGGACCAUGCACUCCAGGUCUCCUUCAGGGACACCCGUGUUACAUACAGUUUGACUUGGGGAGGUUGGAACUUUUGUGCUUUUCUUACCCCCAAGCCUGCUGGGCCCUCGCCCCAUUCUCUUCCUGGCUUUCAGGCUUCCGCCCACAGUAGAGCCUGUGUCCUGGUGUUCUCCUGACCUGCCUCAACCCCUGGGUUCCCAGAAGGGAGUGGCUAAGCCUGAAGUCUGGUUAUAGCUCCUGAGCCCAGCUCCCCAGGCCUCUGCUGAGCUCUCUGGUUUCUAUUCGGUUGCUUCCUGAUUCCCUCUCCACUCCAGCCCCUGAGAAUGUCCUCCCUGGGUCGCAGGAUCACACCUGCAUCAGCGUUCCUUGACUUCAAUCCCGAGGCUCCUUUAUUUUAAAAAAAGGAAAGUCCUGAAAUGGAGCUUCGGGAACAGUGGGGUCUAGGUGUGCUGUAUUCCUCAUUUCCCUUCCCGUCCCCCAUUCUGUUCCUCCUCCUCCUCCUCCUCCUCUUCCUCCUCCUCCUUCUUGUUCUCCAAGCUUUGUGUCAGAAAGUCUAUCUCCAGUAGUUCCCUCAAAAGACUCAGGGCUCAGCAUGGAUUCCAUGCCCAUUGCUAAACCAACCAUGGGGCCUCUCACUAGUCUCUCCUUAGAGCAGUGAGAGAGAGCCAACAGGUGGUCACUGCAUAUGUAUCCACACUGCAGGGGUGGGGUGGAGUGGGGACUGAGGCCUGUAGAGCAGGCAGCCUGGCUCUCUCUGGCCUGGAUGGACGCUAGCCAGGUGCCUCUUUCCUCAGAUCCCUUCCUGGGACUGUCCAGGCUCUCUCGUGGGAGCCUCUAUUGUAUCUGUGGGAUGGAAGGUAACAGGUACAAUAGACCUGACUCCGAUGAAAGUGCCCGAGAGUGUCCCCCACUCCUACACAUGCACACACACACACAUACUGCCCUCAAACUCCUGCCUGAAGGAAGGGCAUGUCCUCUGACUCCUGACCACAAAGAUGUCUUUGUCAUCAGGAGCUGCCAAGAUUUAGUGAAUCCCGGUCACCCAGUAUUCCAGACUCAGGACAACUGAGGCAGAGUGUAUGCACAGUGAGAGGGUCCCUGUUGACACCCUCCUCCCCAGGGGCUUCAUCAGAGCCAUUUCUAGGCCUGGGCUGUGGCCAAAGGGUCAUCCACUUGGAGAUCAGCCAGUCGCCUGGAGCCAGGGAGGGGUGGGCUCCACCCAGGCUCAACCCCUUCCUGUUCCUGGCCUCUGGCCACUCAUUAUGCUUCUUUGAUGGCCAUUCUCCUUUACUACAGAUGGGGAUGGAGUUCAAAAGCUAGGUGCCUAUAGAAUGCUAGAAAGCCCUGUUCCCUCCACUCCUAAGUACAGUGAAGUCUUGCUGAUAAUGUUGAAUGCAGAGGAACAAAUGGGAAGAGACUUCAAGACUUUGGGAAGUGUUGGGGUGAGUCUGUACAACAGACUCGUGGGCAUGGCCUCCCUGACUAAGGGACAUUUCAUCAAGUUACUGCAGAGGGUGAGAGAAGGGAUUUGUGGAUAUCUGGGGAGAUCUCGCAGGCAGAGAGAGGCGUGAUGCUAAUCAUGGCUUGAAGGAGUCUUACCCUACCUAGGUUGUGGUUCCUUCAUCCUCGCUUGGGCUCUUUUGUGCUCUUGUUAGGUGUAGUGAACAGAGCUAGGCAUGAAGGAUGUGUCCCUCUUGGGUCAGGGACACCUGGUUCCAUGAUGAUCUGCAGGGUGCCAGGCAUCACCCCAUCACAGAGACCCCUGUGAGACUGCUUCCCUUCCUUCUCAGUAAACAGCGGUUUGUGUGGAUGCUUGCAGCAGACUGGCCCAGCAAGGACAAGCCCAGCAGGGUUGCCGAUUCUCAUUCUCUCUAGCCACCGUGACAUUUCGUGGCGAGGCUUUCUGUUUGAUGUGUGACCGCUCUGCUCAUACCAUUGAAAAUGUGCUGUGGGUCUCUUAUCUAUCAUCCCAUGCCUCUGCCCGUGGAAAGCUGGCUUCCUGGAGGCCUUUUGGCUAUGGAGACCAAAGCCCACAUCCAUAGCUCAGCCCUGUGCUGACCCAGCCCUGCAGAGAACAGGGUUGUCACUGUGGAAGAAUGUCUCUUUGAACAGACAGGUCUAGGGAUUGAGGUGUCAUGCCCAGAGGGAGGGGUCAUAGAGGGAUGGCCUGGAUGCCCUGGGAACCAGGUUCUUGGGUUUGAAUGCAUCCAGGACUGAGUGUCCUUAUUGUAGUUCCCUUAACUUCCAUGUGCCUUGGUUUCUCCAUCUAUCCCAUGAUGGUGACAGCGGCACUUCUGACUCAGGCUUGUUGUGAAGACAGCAUGGUAAUGACUUUGAAGUUCUUAGAAUCAGUCCUGGGGCAAAGCCAUGAGGCAAUACUUAAAACCCUCUCUGUGCCUCCGUUUCUCCAGCUGUGCAUCAGCAUGUCAAGCUGACCUGACUCCAAAUUUCAUCCUUUUCUCUGCAUAGCAACAGUGCCUUCCGUAACCUGGUGGGUCAAAUCAAGGUUGGACAGGGAUAUAAUGCUAAGCGGUGGCUGCUCUCCAGGAAUCGUCAGUGAAUCUCCACAGACCAUUUGGAAAGUGAGAUCCAAAGGCCUGGGAGUGGGAACCUUAAUCCAGCUGUCACGGGAACACAGGGGUUCCACUAGGGAGUCUUCAUCUCCAGCUUGUCUAAGUGCCUCUGAUGCAGAUGACAGGCCUGAGCUGAGUUUGCAGCACCCCUCGGGCCUGUGCCCUUUCCUGGCACUCUAUUUAGGCGGCACCCUGGCAAAGCAGAUUGGCAAGGGACAAACUUCCUUUUCCCUUUGUGAGCUCAGUAGCUCCUUGGGGCUGCAGAGGAAGGAGAUGUAGGGUGGAUCAGCAAGAUUUGCCUG
rnacentral:lncRNA from 1 species